GAGCUGGAGGAAGUCUUGAUUUUAUAAGCAUCCCCUUUCUCUUGUCUCUCCUAUUCUUCAAGGUCAGGUGGAAGCUGAAUUGUGUUAGUGAUGAGCAAUGGAAUACAUACUUGUGAGCCUGAAGGAAACUCAUCCUGAAUUGCUGCUGUUCUCCCUGCUAAAAGCCACCACAAAGACUGCCGUGCUCCUGUGGUGAUGGAUGUGUUAUGUAGGGCAUUAUAUAGUGCCACUCUGAUGCAUUGCAAGGCCUGUGCUAGCCCCACAGUCCACAGUGUUCCUGUUUGAAACAUGGGCAAGGUCACUGCCCUCCUCCUAAAAGCAGAUGAAGGAAAUGGUCUCAUAGCGGUUUGACAUUAUUGGGUUACUCUCAGCAGCCACAUUUUGGCUUAUAAAGGUCCUGCUGUUUUUAUUUGAACGGACAUGUGGUGGAGCCUCCCUAUGCCAAGGAAAAAGCCAUUACAACUAAUUCUCACUAUUUAUAUUUCUCCCUGAUGAGAAUAUCUCUUUCUGUUCAUCGUGUGAAUUUGGUCUCUGCUGCCCCUUUCUGGGAACAUCUGUAAAUGCAUCACGUCUAUCAGAAGAAAAAGGCACGAAGCUUGAUCUCCUGGACCACGGAGCCGUGCCGGGCUCCUCUGGCUUUCCUCACCUUGCCGGAUGCUACGCGUUUGACAACAUUGUCUCCUCCUCAUCAGCUAUAUCUUGAGCGCUCUGGCCCUCUGGAACUUGCUCCCAAACCUUUCUUCCCAAGAACUGUCCCAUGCAAAGCAGUGGGUACCUACCUUGAACAGAGGACGUCAAGGUGACCCUUAGGAAUACUGCUGCGACCACCUUUCUUAAGUACCCGUGACAUUUCCACAAAGGGUAGCUGGUGGAGGCAGCUUUCAGGAUGGCUGAGCAGCGUGGCUGAUGCCUGCCCACCCACAGAUCAUGUCGACAGUCUCCUUGUCAGCAUCACCUGGCAGCCAACAUCCCCCUGACCUGCUGGUGGAGACCAUGCUGAAUCCCCUUCCUACCUCCAGGCCUCGAACCGACAAAGUCUUGGUUGCGAGGAAUACAAAUCCCAUCCAGGCUGGACAACUUUCUGCACAGACCGAAAAGACGUCAGGAUGCAUCAGAGACACUAGAGAACACUGCAGAUUUGUCUAUUCAGAGAUGUUUAAGUCUCAGCGAUUAAUUACCCAUUACGCUGUGUUAUAGGACACGUCUGAGCCAUGGUCGUCUGGACACGGCACACGUUUCUUCCAGGACAUGAAUGCAAGCAGAUGUCCUGCUCAGCCUGUACAAAUGCAUGAAUGAGCUGGAAUUACUUGCAAUCAGUUGACUCCAGUCAAAUACUUUUGUGUUUCCAUGUUCACAGUUUGUGUAGUCAAAUCCUGAGAAGGGAAGUGAUUUUGAGUCUGACUAUUUAAAGUUUUUUGUAUGAUUUUCUUAACAGCUGUUGCAUCCUAACAGUUGGGAGAAAAAUCUUCUUUUCGUAAGGACUCUGUAAGGCUCUCUUAGCUGGAGGAUGAAGCUAUUUCCCUUCUACAUUUCCUGGAGUCCUUCAUUGAGAUCAAGGGGUAAUUAUUCCUGAUAUUUUGAAAGUUAAAAAAAAAAAAAGUAGUAAAUGACAUUUAAAGAGAAAUAAGCCAAGCCAGACUUAGCAAAGACUCAGCAAAGUCUGGCCGUUUCCCCCCACCUUUCCAGAUCACCUCAGCAGCUUUAUUUCCCAGGUUUGAGCAGGUUACCCCGAGUAACGGGUGUUUGUUUGACAAAGCGCUAUUACUCCUUGUUACUUCUGAACCUCAAUAGUCACAGAGAGAUUAUAAACGCGUAAAGAAAUAAUACCGACACUAGGGGAGGUCUCCUUCCUCGCCAGUGUGGACGUUUGUCAACUCGUGUUGCACCUAACGAUGGAUGCCUGCGAGCUGGAGAGGAAUUCUCCUCUGCUUGCCCUCCCUGCCUCCGGGCAGCAGGAGAGCAGGGACAGGGAUAGCUGGCAGCUGCGUCCAGCUUUAACCUCCCUGAGGAGCAGGUUUGUCUGUCUACUUACUGGACUUCCCCAGGGUAGGAGAAGCUGAGUCCCACCAGUGCCCGGUGCCCAGCUCACAGAGCCGUGCAUUGCUGCCCAAAAAAGGGAGCCCCAGAGCAAGCCGGCAGAUCAGCCUGUUCCCGGGAGGUGGUGCAAACCCGGACAGACCGGAUGUGCUUUUAGAGC
rnacentral:lncRNA from 1 species